rnacentral:lncRNA from 7 species
CCCCCGAGCCCCCAUCACCGCGGUGCCGCCAUCCCUUCCACGUGUGCGGUGACACGGGGGGGUGUGGGGCACACGAGGGCAUCGCAGCCCCCACCGGGGGGGGUGGGAAUGGGGGCUGUUUGACCUCCAUGCUCGCUGUGGGGGGGGGGGCUGCAGGCCCGGAGCCCAACUGCAGCCUCACAGUGCGGGCAGAGUGGGGGGGGUCUCACCCUUUCCAGGCGUCGGGGUCAGGGCUGUGCACCUGGAGGGCUGUGCACGUGUGUGUGUGUGUGUGUGUGUGUGCAAAGCCACGUGUGUGCAGCUCCGUGUGUGCACGUGUGCGGGGCUCCCGUGCGCACGGCGCUGUGCGUGCACCACUGCACCACGGUUGCACAGGUGUGAGCGCUGCCGAGCGUGCCACGCGUGUGCCCGGAGCCUUUCCACGCCUGGAACGGUGCACGGCUGCACGGACCCGUUGCACACACACACACACACACACCCACACAGACACACGUGGGAUGGCCCCGCGCGUGUGCAGGGCCGCGCGUGCCCGAUCCACCCCGGGUUUUCGGAGUGACCGCGGCGCUCCCGGUUGGGGUCCCGAGCGCUGCUCCGCUCCGCCGCCGCCGCCCGAAGUUGAGUCCCGCGGCUCCGCUCCAUUCUGCCCCGGGACGCGCCGCCCCCGCGGGGUCCCGCAGCGUUCGGUGGGGGCGGACCGCGAUCCGGGCCCGGGGGGCUGCGGGGGGGAGGGGGGGGGCGCGGGGCCGUCCGUCCCGUCCAACCCUGAGCUCCGGGAUCCGCCCCGCCGGGGAACCGAACCGCGCCGGGACCGAACCGAACCGCGUCGCACCGCGCCGGGACCGAACCGUCGCCGCCGCCGGGAGGAGCGGAGCGCGGAGCACCGCCCGGAGGUGGAGGAGCUGCAGAGGCUGCCAGGAGGGACCCAGCAGCGCCGUACCCUGCCGAGACCUGAGAGCUCUUCAUGCAGACAGAAGGCCAGCAAGCGCGGCGACGCAGACCCACGUGUGCACGUGUACGUAUGUGCUGGUGUGCAAAUGUGUUUGCACUUGCGUGUGAGCGUGCGUGCAGAGAUCCGUGCAUCCGUGCGAGCGCGCAGAGCUGCGCCCGUAUCUGCACGCAGGUGUGUGUGUGCGCUCACGUGUGCAGGCGACUACACGUAUGUGUGUGGAUGUGCAAACGUGUUCGUGCACCUGCACACGCCCUGCACACGCGUGUACUGCAGAAAGCUGUGCUCGGCUCCACAGGACAACAUUUUAUGAGGAACUCCCACCCUCUCUCUGCCAGAUGCUGCACCUGGGGUAGGGGCAACAUGAGGGGCGUCCCUUGGAGCUGCUCCCCCCAUCCGUGCUGCACGGCGCGGGCGCAGCACACAGGUAAGAGCCCCCCUCCCUCCCCCCAUCUCCUCCGCUUCCUCCUCCUGCCUUUCCCUUUGCUGCCCCCCGCCCCACCACCGUGCUGCCCUGCUGGCCCCCCCUCCAUUCUUCCUGCCUGACACUCUCACAAAGCCCCUAGACGAGCUUUCAAAGGGGCAACUCAUGCGGAAGAAUCGCUGCCCCCCUCACCCCUGUGCUCCCAACGCAACCCAGCUCUUUCCCAGCAGGGUGAGGGGCUCCCGCUCCCCCAGCCCCCUUCUUUGGGGCAAUUCCUCCACGGGGGAGGCGGAGGGGGCCUUGUCACCAGUGCCACCCACGUGCUGCUGUUCCCCCGCUCCUCGGCUGUUUCUCUUGCAAGCCCACGGGGGUCCCGGGGCAGGAGGGUGGGGGCAGAGCUGUGGGCUGGGAGCCGGUGCUGAGGCCAUGGGUGGAAACGGGGCCCAGGCUCCAGGCAGGGCUGAGCCCCGUGGGCUGCGUAGGUGGGACGGGGCAGGGUUUGGCCCGCAGGCAGGGCAGGGAGCCACGGGCAGGGCAGGGCUGGGUGUGAUCUGCAGCCGUGAUGCCAGCCUGGGUCCAUCGGCCAAGAGUGGCUCCAUGUGUCUGUGCCUUCGAUUCCUGUCGCAGCCGUCAGGGCUUGCCACUUCUACAGGCUGGGAACCGGAUCGUUUUUAAGGCCCUUUCCAUCUAAAUCUGUACCAGAAAGGGAGGGAUGCGGGGCUCUGCGUGCUGCCCUCCCCUGGCAGCAGCCCCCGCUCCCUUCCAGGUGCACACCAUGAGCCCCAGCUGGGCUUGGCGCCUGUGCCCCAUGCAGAAAGCUGCCCUGGUCCUGGGAGGGAGGGGAGAUGGAGCCCUUGGGGUCAGGGGCUCCCAGAUGGGCAGCAGGAUGCCAUGCAGAGGGGCAGGCAGGCAGGCAGGCAGGCAGGCAGGAGUCCCAGGGCUAUUGGGUCAGUGGAGAUGCUCCACUGAGUCCCCUUUUCAGCCCAGGAUCCUCCGUGCCCCAAAUCUCGGGAUAUGGGGCUGCUCCCCCAAUCCCAGGGCUGCUCCCCCAGCCCCUGGGCCUUUGGGCUGGGCACGCAGGGCUGUGUGCGGGCAGGGUGCGGGGCCUGGUGGGGAGGCCUCGGCCUGCGGGGCGCUGCGGCCUGCUCGGGAUGCGGCCUGUGCGGCCCCGAGGCCCGGGCGUUGCCUGCGCGGCGCUGCGGC